AUUGAACGCUGGCGGCAGGCUUGACACAUGCAAGUCGAACGAGUGGCGGAUGGGUGUGCAAGGCUUGGGAAUCUGGCGUAUGGAGGGGGAUAACGACGGGAAACUGUCGCUAAUACAGCGCUCCAUAGGAAGAGCCCAUGUGGGAUUAGGUAGUUGGUGGGGUAAUGGCCCACCAAGCCGCCGAUCUCCAGCUGGUCUGAGAGGAAGACUCAGCACACCGGGACUGAGACAGGGCCCGACCUCCUCCGGGAGGCAGCAGUGGGGAAGAUUGGGCAAUGGGGGGAACGCAACGAAGCCACGCCGCGUGGAUGAAGAAGGCCUUCGGGUUAUAAGGUUCUGUCGGUGAGGAGGCGGUAAUCACCGAAGAAGCACCGGCUAACUCCGUGCCAGCCGCCGCGGUAAUUC
rnacentral:rRNA from 1 species